ACCCCUUGGCAAUGGGCAAAGAGACACCUUGUUGGUGGUGGUGUUCUUCCAUCAGUCAGAGGCAGACCAGAUGGCUGUCCUUUGUUCAUUGUAGUUUGAUGCCUGGCUUGGUGACCAAAGCUGUCUUAUGCAUAGGACUCAUAA